rnacentral:rRNA from 1 species
UACGUAGGGUGCAAGCGUUGUCCGGAAUUAUUGGGCGUAAAGAGCUCGUAGGCGGUCUGUCGCGUCGGAUGUGAAAACCCGGGGCUUAACCCCGGGCCUGCAUUCGAUACGGGCAGACUCGAGUGUGGUAGGGGAGACUGGAACUCCUGGUGUAGCGGUGAAAUGCGCAGAUAUCAGGAGGAACACCGGUGGCGAAAGCGGCUCACUGGACCGUGUCUGACGCUGAGGUGCGAAAGCUAGGGUAGCGAACGGG